GCUGCAAUGUUGCCAACCCGUGAGGCGCGAAUUGUGUCACAAAACCCGUCGUGAAAAGUACCUAUACCAAAUUCCUCAUACUUUUCCCCACACUUUGGGGCAGUAUCUGCCUAUCUGGGGAGGAAUGGCUCUUUAUACUGUGUAUAGUAACUAUAGUUAAUACUGAGUGUAAUAUACUAAUAUAAUACACAUAUUUUUAAUACUAUAAUCUCAAUUUAAAUUAAUUUCUUACAUUACACUUACAAUUUUCUUCCUAAAACACCUUUUCGUAGUGUGCAUUCUUGUACACACUAGCCUUGUCAUGUACCCCUCCAUGUACCCCAUUAUUUCCAUGUACCCUUUGAAAAAAAUCAUGCACCCUGGGGUGCACCAUGCACCCAGGUUGACUAUCACUGCUCUAUAGUAUGCG